rnacentral:lncRNA from 1 species
CAUUCUCUAGAAGGAAAAGAGUACAAAGGCAAAGCUCUUUGCUUAUACGUUACAAGUAUGUGCAUAAUAAGUACCAAUCUGGAUAAUUAUCUGAUAGACACAGGAUAUGCUAACUGUGAUCAUCUACAUCGCUUCCAUCAUUAUGCUGGCCAAAUGAUUGUCGAGGUAUGCUAUGAUGAUUGUUCGUGUCAUCAUUGACACUUUGCACACUGCCUUGUUCUUGACUUGGUUGCACUAAGGAUGAGCCCCCAUGGUUUUCUUCUCCGCCUGUCAACCGUCGAUGAGCCGCACUAACGGUUUCAGCCAAGAAUAUCGUUAGCAGCAGAGCUAAGACCUUCAUGUUUAAACCUUUUUGCUUCAUCAAAGGAAAAGUCGAGGUCAAAUGGUAAAGAUGAAGCAAGAGCAAAGGAUAGGAGAUGGGAUAUUGAACGUAGUUAGGGAAGCUUUGCUUAGGUAUGUUGAGUAGGGUUUUGUCCUGAAGACUUGUAACCUUGAGGGAUAUAUAAAGCUACUACUUAUAGGUGCGAUGAGAGGUCAACUAGUUGUAUGGACUAGAAAAUUCUUCUUGUGGGGAUUCCACCAAAGUCAUAUCAAAAUGGUGGGUAGUUACAUAUUACCAAUCAAAUAUAUUAAAUUAGCAAUAAUUGAUGGUGCAAGGAAGAUCUUGCGAUAGGCAUUAAGCCUACCAAAUCGUUGAGCACCAACUUGCCAUGAUGGGGCCCAUUACAGGCCAAUCGCUUCCGGAUAUCUUUAUCUUUCUUAUUGCGGUACGGGCAUAAAGGGGCUAUGAGAAAGCAAUAUUCCACCAAGAGAAUAGGAUCGAAUGGCUAUUGGUUGGAUCGGGUCCUCCACCACUUAGCUGGUGGACUAGUCCAAUCAUAGAGCGACACAUGCGCGGAUGGACAAACCAAAAUUAGCGCGCUUCCAUCCGUGUCGCUUCGUGGUUGGAUGGGUCCAUCAACUGAGUGGUGGAGCUGUUCCAACUAAAAAUUUAUACCAAGGGUAGGCUGCAAAGAUCCUCUCAUUUAAUACGGCUAUCAUCUUCCAAUGCUGUUUAUUUUUCUCCUUUAAUUGGUAGAGAAGAAUAUAGUUAGGUAAUACUAGAUGCUUGGAGCCAAUAAAAAUAUUAGUAGAACCACCAAAACAGUUUCUGUUACUAUUAUAUCUGUGAUUGUUUCAGUUGUGCUUCUUCUUUCCACUGAUGAUAUGUAGCUCGCAAAGGCAGCAUGUAAAUGAAAUCUACACAUGAUUCCAUCUGUAAGGAGAAAUGAACCAAGUCAUACGAACUAAUAAACCUUCUGGUCGUCUUGUACAAAGAAGAAAUAUUUCACCACAGUAGUGUCGGGAAAUACCAGGAAGUUGGGCUACAUCUCGGUUGAAGUUGUAAUUUCAAUUACACUACCGAUGUUUGAUUCCAUGAGUUUACAGUAACGAUAAACCUGUAAAUGAAAACUGUAAUUGUAUUUGGUUGUACUACUAAAACAAUAUAUAUCCACCAACUAGUCCUUGUUAAGAUUUAAACCUGUAAUAAAGAUGUCUUUAAAGCCUUUUCCAUUUGCAGUGGUUUGUCUUAACGCCAAUUUGGCCAUAGGACAAAAUAAUGUAAAAGGAUCCAGAAUGCAGUUUGACUUACAGGAUUCUUGUCAACUUAAAACAAUCCAGACACUGGAAAAUGUCACCUUUGCAGCUGAGAUUUAUGUACACCUAGUUGCAGAUAUCUAAACACUACCUAAAAGUUUUUUUUUAAAACUAGAAAGAUCAAUUGGUUGGAAAGUACUCCAGUGAGCCAAUAUGCCGGUUAACAAGAGCAGGCAUGAAGAAGGGGACCGCAAGACAUCUAUAUCUAUUUAUAAUGGAAUUCAUGCAACACAAAGGGCAACUUAUACACCCCUGUAGAUAAAAUAUCUAAGACAGUAAUAUAGGGCAAUCAACUGAAAACGCAUCAAUCGCCAAAGUCCAACUGUAAGCGUUUUUGAAUUGUUAUUUGUAUAAACUUGUGAAAGCCAUCUGCUAGUUUCUUUCAUGUUAUGAAAGCAUAAUAUUAUCAUCGAAGUUUUGGUAUAGACAUUUCUAUAAUGAUAUUUCCAUUUUUAUCUCCCUCGGCUCUAAAUUCUUCAUUAGCUUAGACGGCCUUUGACAUAAACCGAUUUCGCAUUUGUGAUCUGACUGGAAUGAUUAGCCUUCUAUCUUGUAGCCAGCAAUGUUAGCCAAGCAGCCCAGGCAAAUAAGUAUCAUCCAAUUAAACAUAUCAAAAAAGGAUCAUUUUAAGUUUCAAUAUGGGUUAUACUUGAUAUUAGGUCAGAGGUGGUAGACUUCUUUUUCUUCUUUUUCUAUUUAAUAUUUAAAAAUGAGACCACCUCCACCCCCCAACACACACACAAAAAAAAAACAAAAAAAGGAAGUCCAACCCCAGCACAUAUGCACCCCAUAUCAUGUAGUUCUCAAGUGAUACGCUGCUUCCAAACAAAAUGUACAGAACUAGAAUUGUGAAUGGGAAAAUAAGAUUUAAAAAUUUUAUCAAACCAUCACCAAAAUUUUUUUACGAGACAAACAAACAAGAAUGCACUUGAACUGCACAUGAAAAUACUAAACAUGUUUCCAGUUCUAUAAUCCAAAAUUGUGAUCGCACAUUUAUAUCCAUCUACCACUUGUGUUGGCUAAUUUUAGAGCCAUCUGGAUCUUUGAUUUGAAAGAAGGCCAUUACAUAUCUUAUUAGACAUUCAGAAGUUACUGAUUAAUUACAUAAUUUAUUGGCAUGUAAAGCCUGAGCAUAUGAGGUUGUAGCUGGCUACGUACUAUAAUAAUACAAACCGACGUCCAAACAUAUAUUCCACACCCUCUAGCUAUUAAAAUAUCACAUAGAGAUCAAUUAAUUAUUUGUCCCCGCCUCCAUUCCCUUCGUUAUUUCCAUCAACUCCUGCUGGAGGAUUAUUGUAAUCAGGUCUAGGUAUGCUAUGAUGGUUAUCAAUCGUGAUCCCUGAGGACCCAAGAGUGCUUUUUGCCUUGGCAAUAUCUUCUCCAUAGGUUUGAUCCAUAAGGGCCAUGUCACGCAUGGUUGAAGUUUUGGUCAUCAUGGUCAUAUGAAGAAGAAGAAGAAGAGCUAUUAACUUCAUCUUUGAUUUCGAUCGGUUGCUGUUUGACGUUGUCAAUACAUACAAUUUAGCAACAAUAAACAUGUAAAUCAGUUCUAUAUAGGAGUAUAGUCAACAGUAACCAAUCAAAGAUGAAGAAAAAGAUAAAUAUAUAAGAAUUACACACCUAGAAAACGCUUUGCAGAUUUGAGGGUCGAUUUAUGCUAGAAAUUAAG